rnacentral:rRNA from 1 species
ACAGAGGGUGCAAGCGUUAAUCGGAAUUACUGGGCGUAAAGAGUGCGUAGGUGGUUGUGUAAGUUAGAUGUGAAAUCCCUGGGCUCAACCUAGGAACUGCGUUUAAAACUGCAUAGCUAGAGUAUUGUAGAGGAUAGUGGAAUUUCCAGUGUAGCGGUGAAAUGCGUAGAUAUUGGAAGGAACACCAGUGGCGAAGGCGACUAUCUGGGCAAAUACUGACACUGAGGCACGAAAGCAUGGGGAGCAAACAG